GACAAAUGGCGCUGCGGAAGCGUUCAUUUCAUUUUGGAUUUGCUUCCAGUCAACAUGUGCCUUGGAUUCUCCGUGAGCGGGUUUUAUAAUUUUAAGAAAAUCUUAAGCAAAAAAUGCUUCGCUGGGGUUCAACUAAGCAUCGUGGAUUAAAUUGUUUGAGAGUUGAAUCUCCAAGAUCUGUAUUGACGCUAGUGAUAGUGUGGAUUGGAUUGCUGGAUAGAUGGAUUCGUUGAAAAUCGUUGACCUAAGCACGUUUAGGUUAUGUGAUAUCCGCUGCUAAAAGGCGCGUGUAGAAAAACAUGGCUGCAUUUAAUGGUGAAUAGCUGGAUAGAUGGAUUCCUUGAAAAUUGUCGACCUAAGCACGUUUAGGUUAAUUGAUGUCUGCUGCUAAAAGGCGCGUGAAGAAAAACGUGGCUGCAUUCAAUUAUGGCUUAAACGGUGCCUAGGCUUCCGUGGAUGAACUAAACCUUCAUAUGAUUAAAUUGCAUGCAUUCACCUAAGAAAGUGGUGAUAAUGUGGAUUAAAUUUCUGGAUAAAUGGAUUCCUUCGGAAUUUUCGUUGAUCUAAGGAAGUUUAAGUCAAGACAUCCAAUACUUAUGGUAUAAAAUGUGGCAGCAUUUAAUUAUGGUGUAAACGACGUUUUAAGGAAUGCAAGAACAAAGGAGGCAUUUACGGUCCAGUUCUGCUUUAAACCACGUUAAGACAAUGAUCCUUGCUCAUAUCGGUAAGGAUUCUUUCAUUUACAGCUCGAUAAUAUCAUUGCUAAUGAUGAUUUUUAGUUAUCCCUGUCAUAAAGACAAUCUUGAUGAUUAAACUACACUGACAAUCUUUGCUGUAUUUAUUACAUCUAUAAAUUUAUUUUGUAGAAAAACUAACUAAUUUUUCUCUUAUUUCAGGUGCUUAUUUUGAUGGAUUCAAAAAUGUUAUAUGAACGUUAAUAAAGAAAAUUUCAGAGUAACUUAAAAACUGUUGUUAAUCAAACGCCUGUCGAAUGUUGAUUUCAAUUAUAUAUUAAGUGAGUAGGGAAUGGCUGCGUCCUCUUCAGAAAUGCAUCGGGCCAAAGCAUCGUGUUCGCCAUUCGAUAGUUUCAGUUUUCACUAUCGGUAGUAUUAUCGAAAUUAAUGGCUCUAUUAUGCAUGGCAACUGAUAGCCGAUGUGAAAUGUAUAGCAACUGGCUACUGAGUCUGGUCGCGAAAUUUUUGGUUUCCCGCUUGUGACGAUUUUGUUAUUUACAUAAAUUGUUAAGCGCAUCGGAGCAAAGUUGCCAAUUACUUCGAAAUGCACAAGUCAAAAAAGUAAAUUUGGACGUUGUCUGCGCUUUUCUGUAUACUGAGAUUAAUCGCUAUACAUAAUACAAAGUACGAUACUGGUAGCCUUUUGGCUACUAGACCAGCAACUAGAUACUAGUUGCCAUUCAUAAUAGGGCCAUUAAUCCAUUUUUUACAAAAGUUAAAAAAAUUAACAGUCAAAAAUUUCAACCAUUCGGGAAACAAAACUACAUUUCGUGUCCAGUAUUUGCGAAAUGGGGUUAAUUUUAUUAUCAGGCCAAUUCUUAAUACUCCCGGGGAGUUUGUUUCUCCCGAGAAAGAAAUCCACCAAUAAUUAACUCCCAGGUAGUAGCUUUUUCCCCGAAAACUUGCGAGGAGGAAAUUCCAACAUCAAAAAAGCUGUUUGACGCUUUUGAGAGCUCAACUUGGCCAUUUAAUAUAAAAAAUCCUCGGGGGAAUUUUUAUUCAUGAUAGGAGGAAAGGGAAAAGAGAGGAAACUCUCGGGGAGUUUCUGUUCAGAAUCGGCCAGUAUUCCUAGGACUGCAUUUACACCCAAUUUACACCUGUGCAUGAACGAAGACA